AAGGGAGUGAUUUAUUUGUGUGGCAGGAUCGUGUACCUUCCAGAGACCUGCUGAACUCAUAAUGAGCCAUUGGUUUCCCGUUAGUCCACUUUUAAAGGAAAAUUCCUUUUCAACUAACUUUCAGAGCUCUUGUAACUUGCUGUCAUAGUAACUUUUAUGUUUAUUAGAGACUUUCUUAUGUGUAGGAGGAUGCCCAGCAGGAGUUUGGCUGGAAGAUGAUUCAUACAGUUGUUUUCAGGCCCUCAAAGAGUGCAAUGUUGUUGUCAGCCUUCCUGGGUCAAGGAAUACAAGUUUUGUUUAUGACCUUUAUUACUUUAAAUGAGUACACUCAGAUAUGUCUUAAAGAUGAGUAGUAAGCUGCUAGCAUAUGUUGAACUUUGAUACCUUUGUACAAAAUGACUUGGAAAAUUAUACCCUAAAGUUUGUGGAAAUCUGUGUUUUGUAACGUUUACAUUACUGUCUUCUCAAAUUAAGGAUAUGAGUCUAAGUAUCUGCCUAUAUCAAGCACCUUCCAAAGCUUCUUUAGCUCUGAAUAGUUUACUGUAAACUCCAAUACACGUAUUCCUUGCUUUGCAAAAUAAAUGCAUUCUUAAAAUCAGUAUGUGAGUAGAAUCAUAUUUUAGGUGGGCUAAGGGAGUUCAUGAUUCAAAGGCUAGCAUUUUGAAAUGCUACAGCAAGCCUAAGUGCUGGUCUUUAAGUGUAUAAAUGGAAUAGCAUCUGUAGUGGGUUCACAAUGGCUGAUGAAUCCUAGAGCCUUCAUUUAUAAACUAAAAAUGGAGCUUGUCAGUUUUUGAUAGCCAGAGUAGUGAUUUUCGUAAACAAAGCCGCUGUAAAAAAUGGCUCAUUAAGUGUUUCAGAUGUCAAUGAUAAUUUCAAAAAUCAGCUUUUAGGGUUAUAUUUUCCUGAGACCAAGUCUCACUUAGAUUUUUUUAUCCCUCACCUUGAAUGAAAGGAAACAGAAGGAAAUUUGUUUGUGAAAAAAAAGACUUGCUGUUUUUUAGUAGUGACUAUUGAAGUGGGAAAGGGGAAAAUAUUUUGUUUUAUUUUGAAUUAGGCAGUGAAAUUAAGGCUAAUUCAACUUAUGAAAACUUCCUUCCACUUACCUUGAAUGGAGAAUUAGACCUUUUCAUUAACAAAAAUUGUCAAGUGCUUAGCCAAGCAAAUAACAUUUGCUUGUAGCAUCCCUUGCUUGUAGUACUUCCAUUAGUUAAUUUCCUUGUGUGCUGUUUCAUAUAAUGUCUUAAUAAGGUUAUGCUUAAUUUCUUAUAAAGUCCUAUGUACUGUCGAGACUAUUAUUGUUGAUGGUUUUCUAUUUCAUUUUUUUGCCCUUAGGUCUGGCCUGCCUUGGUUUUCUUUCUCCUGGCCAUGGAGGGGCUUUAUGACCUGUGCCAUUGUGUUAUGGGUCCUUCUGGGAACCCCUGCUAGAUACAUGUCUGCUAUAAUGUAUAAGAAAUUGUCUUUGCUGACCUCUUCCUUGUGAAUGAAAUUCUCUGGAUGGAAGAGAAUUUUUUUUCUACUCUGCUAGAUAUCUUUACAAUUUGGUUUGGAAUUUCAGUACCACUAACAUUUUUUGGUGCAUAUUUUGGAAACAAGGAAAAGGUGUUCAAAAUCUGGUGUGUAUUUUCCACAUACAGCCCAUCUCAAUUCAGACAGCCACAUUUCAAGUGCUCAACAGCCACAUGCGGCCAGUGGCAUCAUACUAAGUAACACACGGCUAAACAAUCAAUAAGGAUAUUUAUCAUUUUUUAUGAUUUCCAAUGGAGAGAUUGGAAAGACUUACUAUGUACAUAUAUGACCACAUUGGGAAACCUUUAGAAGAAACAUACAUUGGAUACCUCUCCCAGGAUCAGACUACCUGCAGAAUUCAAUCAGAUGGACUCUCACACUAGUUUGCAGGCGACUGUCUCUGGCUCUGUUGCUCAUCCUGUUUGCUCAGUAAGAGAGCCUGGUGGUUUUCAUUUAAUAAAUGUACAAAUCUUGAGAGUUGGAGAAUCAGUAGCCUACCUCAAAAACUGACAUGUUUUGUGUUUUUGAGAAAGCUGCUUUCAUUGCUAUGACGUCUGGCUAACAAAGAUCUUUUUCAUUUUGUUUCAGGGACGGUUGGAUUUUUUUCCUGUUUCUGGUUUAUUACUAAAAUCUACAGUGUGCUGAAGGUGGAGUAAAGUAUUUUCCCGAAGGAUUCCAAGCACAUCUCCCUUGCUCUUGAGUAUCUGUAUAUCUAUAUGAACAUCAAUGAAGAUACAUAUGUGUGCCCCUAAUUACAUAAAUUUUAAACACGUAUAAACGUAAAAUCUCAUUGUCUGACCUCAGUUUAUAUGACACAAAAUACUGAUUGUGUGGAAGAAAACAGGUUGGGAAACAGAUUUAUUCAACAUCAUGUUUUCCUGAUAAGAUACCAUAAAAUGUUUUAAAUUAAAGCAAUUCGAGCAAGGGAGGCACAUUUCUUUAAAAAAUUAAAGUUGAAUACCACACUGGUUUUUCAGA